ACGGGAGGCAGCAGUGGGGAAUAUUGCACAAUGGGCGAAAGCCUGAUGCAGCGACGCCGCGUGAGUGAAGAAGUAUCUCGGUAUGUAAAGCUCUAUCAGCAGGGAAGAAAAUGACGGUACCUGACUAAGAAGCACCGGCUAAAUACGUGCCAGCAGCCGCGGUAAUACGUAUGGUGCAAGCGUUAUCCGGAUUUACUGGGUGUAAAGGGAGCGUAGACGGCAUAGCAAGCCAGAUGUGAAAUGCGGGGGCUCAACCCCUGAACUGCAUUUGGAACUGUUAAGCUAGAGUAUCGGAGAGGUAAGUGGAAUUCCUAGUGUAGCGGUGAAAUGCGUAGAUAUUAGGAGGAACACCAGUGGCGAAGGCGGCUUACUGGACGAUAACUGACGUUGAGGCUCGAAAGCGUGGGGAGCAAACAGGAUUAGAUACCCUGGUA
rnacentral:rRNA from 1 species